rnacentral:rRNA from 1 species
UACGUAGGGGGCGAGCGUUGUCCGGAUUUAUUGGGCGUAAAAGGCUUGUAGGUGGCCACGCCAAGUCGGAUGUGAAAUCUCCCGGCUCAACUGGGAGGGGUCAUUCGAUACUGGCGGGCUCGAGGCCGGUAGGGGGAAGCGGAAUUCCCGGUGUAGUGGUGGAGUGCGUAGAUAUCAGGAGGAACACCGAUGGCGAAGGCAGGUCUCUGGGCCGAUACUGACGCUGAGGAGCGAAAGCGUGGGGAGCGAACAGG